rnacentral:rRNA from 1 species
CUCAGGAUGAACGCUGGCGGCGUGCUUCAUACAUGCAAGUCGAACGAGAAUUGGUAGCUUGCUACCAAGGAAAGUGGCGGACGGGUGAGUAAUACAUAGGGAAUCUGCCCUUAGCCGGGGGACAACAGUUGGAAACGACUGCUAAUACCGCAUAUGAGUAUGGUUGAGAUACUAUACUUGAAAACUCCGGUGGCUAAGGAUGAGCCUGUGCCUGAUUAGUUAGUUGGCGGGGUAAAGGCCCACCAAGGCGACGAUCAGUAGCUGGUUUGAGAGGAUGAUCAGCCACAAUGGGACUGAGACACGGCCCAUACUCCUACGGGAGGCAGCAGUAGGGAAUUUUGCGCAAUGGGCGAAAGCCUGACGCCAGCAACGCCGCGUGUGUGAUGAAGCCCCUAGGGGUGUAAAACACUGUCAGUGGGGACGAAAGAUGACGGUACCCACAGAGGAAGCACCGGCUAACUCCGUGCCAGCCGCCGC